rnacentral:rRNA from 1 species
GAUUACCUCAGUAACGGCGAGUGAAGCGGUAACAGCUCAAAUUUGAAAUCUGGGUCUUUUAGGCUCCGAGUUGUAAUUUGUAGAAGAUGCUUCGGGUGCGGCGCCGGUCUAAGUCCCUUGGAACAGGGCGUCAUAGAGGGUGAGAAUCCCGUAUGUGAUCGGUUGCCUGUGCCCGUGUGAAGCUCUUUCGACGAGUCGAGUUGUUUGGGAAUGCAGCUCUAAAUGGGUGGUAAAUUUCAUCUAAAGCUAAAUAUUGGCCAGAGACCGAUAGCGCACAAGUAGAGUGAUCGAAAGAUGAAAAGCACUUUGGAAAGAGAGUUAAACAGUACGUGAAAUUGUUGAAAGGGAAGCGCUUGCAACCAGACUUGCGCGUUGUCGAUCAUCCGAGGUUCUCCCCGGUGCACUCGACCUCGCUCAGGCCAGCAUCGGUUUCGGUGGUUGGAUAAAGGCCUUGGGAAUGUAGCUUCUUUCGGGGAGUGUUAUAGCCCUCGGUGCAAUGCAGCCUACCGGGACCGAGGACCGCGCUUCGGCUAGGAUGCUGGCGUAAUGGUUGUAAGCGACCCGUCUUGAAACACGGACCAAGGAGUCUAACAUCUAUGCGAGUGUUUGGGUGUCAAACCCAUACGCGUAAUGAAAGUGAACGGAGGUGAGAACCCUUAAGGGUGCAUCAUCGACCGAUCCUGAUGUCUUCGGAUGGAUUUGAGUAAGAGCAUAGCUGUUGGGACCCGAAAGAUGGUGAACUAUGCCUGAAUAGGGUGAAGCCAGAGGAAACUCUGGUGGAGGCUCGCAGCGGUUCUGACGUGCAAAUCGAUCGUCAAAUUUGGGUAUAGGGGCGAAAGACUAAUCGAACCAUCUAGUAGCUGGUUCCUGCCG